UACGUAGGGGGCAAGCGUUGUCCGGAUUUAUUGGGCGUAAAGAGCUCGUAGGCGGUUGGGCAAGUCACGUGUGAAAUCUCCACGCUCAACGUGGAGGCGCCACGUGAGACUGCCCUGACUCGAGUCCGGUAGGGGAGCGUGGAAUUCCCGGUGUAGCGGUGAAAUGCGCAGAGAUCGGGAGGAACACCCGUAGCGAAGGCGGCGCUCUGGGCUGGUACUGACGCUGAGGAGCGAAAGCGUGGGGAGCAAACAGG
rnacentral:rRNA from 1 species